GACGAACGCUGGCGGCGUGCUUAACACAUGCAAGUCGAACGGAAAGGCCCUGCUUUUGUGGGGUGCUCGAGUGGCGAACGUGUGAGUAACACGUGAGUAACCUGCCCUUGACUUUGUGAUAACUUCAGGAAACUGGGGCUAAUACCGUAUAGGGGCUCCUGCUGCAUGGUGUGGGUUGGAAAGUUUCGGCGGUUGGGGAUGGACUCGCGGCUUAUCAUCUUGUUGGUUGGGUAGUGGCUUACCAAGGCUUUGACGGGUAGCCGGCAUGAGAGGGUGACCGGCGACAUUGGGACUGAGAUACGGCACAGACGCCUACGGGAGGCAGCAGUGGGGAAUAUUGCACAAUGGGCGGAAGCCUGAUGCAGCAACGCCGCGUGCGGGAUGACGGCCUUCGGGUUGUAAACCGCUUUCGCCUGUGACGAAGCGUGAGUGACGGUAAUGGGUAAAGAAGCACCGGCUAACUACGUG
rnacentral:rRNA from 1 species